rnacentral:misc_RNA from 1 species
GAGAUUUGGGAGUGCUCGCAGAAGAACCGGAACACAGGUGCUGCAUGGCUGUCGUCAGCUCGUGUCGUGAGAUGUUGGGUUAAGUCCCGCAACGAGCGCAACCCUUGUCAUUAGUUGCUACGAAGGGUACUCUAAUGAGACUGCCGGUGACAAACCGGAGGAAGGUGGGGAUGACGUCAAGUCCUCAUGGCCCUUAUGGGUAGGGCUUCACACGUCAUACAAUGGUCGGGACAGAGGGUCGCCAACCCGCGAGGAGUAAUCCAGAAACCCGAUCGUAGUCCGGAUCGCAGUCUGCAACUCGACUGCGUGAAGUCGGAAUCGCUAUUAAUCGCGGAUCAGCAUGUCGCGGUGAAUAUUCCAAGGAUACUUGUACACACCGCCCGUCACACCAUGGGAGUGGGUUUUACCAGAAGUAGUUAGCCUAACCGUAAGGAGGCGAUUACCACGGUAGGAUUCAUGACUGGGGUGAAGUCGUAACAAGGUAG